rnacentral:rRNA from 1 species
UACGGAGGGUGCGAGCGUUGUCCGGAAUCAUUGGGCGUAAAGGGCGCGUAGGCGGCCCGGUCAGUUCGUGGUGAAAGCGCGGGGCUCAACUCCGCGUCGGCCAUGGAUACUGCUGGGCUCGAGCACUGUAGAGGCAGGCGGAAUUCCGGGUGUAGCGGUGGAAUGCGUAGAGAUCCGGAAGAACACCGGUGGCGAAGGCGGCCUGCUGGGCAGUUUUGCUGACACUGGAGGCGCGACGAGCGUGGGGAGCAAACAGGG